CCUACGGGAGGCAGCAGUGAGGAAUAUUGGUCAAUGGGCGCGAGCCUGAACCAGCCAAGUCGCGUGAGGGAGGACGGCCCUACGGGUUGUAAACCUCUUUUGCCGGGGAGCAACGGGCGCCACGUGUGGCGUCACUGAGAGUACCCGGAGAAAAAGCAUCGGCUAACUCCGUGCCAGCAGCCGCGGUAAUACGGAGGAUGCGAGCGUUAUCCGGAUUUAUUGGGUUUAAGGGGUGCGUAGGCGGGUCGUUAAGUCAGUGGGAAAAUUGCGGGGCUAAACCACUUCCCGCCAUUGAAACUGGCGUUCUUGAGUGGAAGAGAAGUAUGCGGAAUGCGUGGUGUAGCGGUGAAAUGCAUAGAUAUCACGCAGAAAACCGAUUGCGAAGGCAGCAUGCCGGCUUCCGACUGACGCUGAAGCACGAAAGCGUGGGGAUCGAACAGGAUUAGAUACCCGUGUAGUC
rnacentral:rRNA from 1 species